rnacentral:rRNA from 1 species
CCUACGGGUGGCUGCAGUGGGGGAUAUUGCACAAUGGGGGGAACCCUGAUGCAGCGACGCCGCGUGAGGGAAGAAUCCCCUCUGCGCGUAAAGCCCUUUCAGCAGGGAAGAAAAUGACGGUACCUGAAGAAGAAGCCCCGGCUAACUACGUGCCAGCAUCCGCGGUAAUACGUAGGGGGCAAGCGUUAUCCGGAUUUACUGGGUGUAAAGGGGGCGCAGACGGCGAUGCAAGGCAGGAGUGAAAGCCCGGGGCCCAACCCCGGGACUGCUCUUGAAACUGCGUGGCUGGAGUGCAGGAGGGGCAGGCGGAAUGCGUGGUGUAGCGGUGAAAUGCGUAGAUAUUAGGAGGAACACCGGUGGCGAAGGCGGCCUGCUGGACUGCAACUGACGUUGAGGCCCGAAAGCGUGGGGAGCAAACAGGAUUAGAUACCCGAGUAGUC